AUGCCAGAGUGUGUUUGGAUGGAACAUCCCAGGGUUCUGAGGGCACAAAUCCCCAAAUUUCUGCACAAUUUCAGUCCUUGGAAAGCACAAAAGACAUCCAAAAUAUCUGGGCCUGGUGGAUCCAUGCACACAUCCAUGGAAUUAACCCACGGGAGAUGUCCAGGAGCUCCUGGGAACGAUCUGGGAAUGGGAAGGGAAGAAAACCCUGCAACUCCCUGGCACUUCCACCUUAAGGAACUGGGAGUGAGCAAAUCCUGGAUGGGCUUUCCCACCCUGGCCUCGCUCCUGGCUGGAGGAAGAGGGAAUUUGAGGGGCCCAGCCUCACCUGGGGAGCUCUGGCAGUGGCGCUGGCAUUCCCGCCGGGAUGGGAAGCGGUUGCUGUUCCCUCGGCAGCCCCCGAACAGGAAGGGCCGGCAGGAGCUGCUGGGGCCGUGGAAGUACCAGAGCAGGGAAUGGUGCUGGCAGGAGCCCUCAUCCAUGGGCUGCAGGCACCGAGCUGCAGGAAAACACCCCAGAAUUCCCACGGCUUGGAUACGGGUGGGAAAACGCCCCACAUUCCUCAUGGGCUGGAUCUGGGUGGGAAAACACCUCACAGUUCCCCAUGGCUUGGAUCCAGGUGGGAAAACACCCCACAAUUCCCAUGGCUUGGAUCCAGGUGGGAAAACACCCCACAAUUCCCACAGCCUGGACCCGGGUGGGAAAACACCCCAAAUUCCUCAUGGCUUGGAUCCGGGUGGGAAAACACCUCACAAUUCCCAUGGGCUGGAUUCGGGUGGGAAAACACCUCACAAUUCCCAUGGGCUGGAUCCGGGUGGGAAAACACCCCACAUUCCUCAUGGCUUGGAUCCAGGUGGGAAAACACCCCACAGUCUCCAUGAGUUGGAUCCGGGUGGGAAAACACCUCAAAAUUCCCACGAGUUGGAUCCGGGUGGGAAAACACCCCACACUUCCCAUGGCUUGGAUCUGGGUGGGAAAACACCCCACACUCCCCAGGGGUUGGAUUCUCUCUGA
rnacentral:lncRNA from 1 species